rnacentral:rRNA from 1 species
AACGAACGCUGGCGGCAGGCCUGAGGCAUGCAAGUCGAACGAGAAAGCCCUUUCGGGGGCAAGUAGAGUGGCGCACGGGUGCGUAAUACGUGGGAACUUACCUAUUGGUAGGGAAUAACCAUUAGAAAUGAUGGCUAAUACCCUAUGGUCCCUUCGGGGUAAAGAUUUAUCGCCAAUAGAUAGGCCCGCGCCAGAUUAGCUUGUUGGUGAGGUAAUGGCUCACCAAGGCAAUGAUCUGUAGCUGGUUUGAGAGGAUGAUCAGCCACACCGGAACUGAGACACGGUCCGGACUCCUACGGGAGGCAGCAGCUAGGGAUAUUGGACAAUGGGCGAAAGCCUGAUCCAGCCAUGCCGCGUGAGUGAUGAAGGCCUUAGGGUUGUAAAGCUCUUUCAACGGUGAAGAUAAUGACGGUAACCGUAGAAGAAGCCCCGGCUAACUUCGUGCCAGCAGCCGCGGUAAU